UUCUGUUCCAGUGAGCCACGAAAGUUAGACAGAAACCUUCUUAUUCUGCAAUGUUAGCCGGGCUAACAUGGUUAACAUGCCCACAUCUGAGGACACGUAAUCUAGACACUUUUCAGCGAGAUGUCACGCAGUUGGAGUUAGCAUUUGUGGUUGGUGACGUGCAAGUCAUGUGACUGUGAGAAAAUAUACAUUAAGGAUUUAAUAAAAGUAGAUUUAGGACUAGAACUGAACCAAAUUUUCUCCUUUGUGUGAAGCAAGGAAUGAGACUCAGUGCUAACGUCUGGCGUCCAGCAGUCGUCGUCAAGACACAGUGCCUGUGAACAGUUCAUGGGAGACCAAAGUAUGAUCACGACCAACAGAUGCAGCAGCGUAUUGGUUUUAAGAACCUCGUGCGGUCAUCGGAGAGAACUAGUAAACUGACAGACUACGUGAACUACCAGAGGUGCCGAAACUUUGACACACAUGUGCAAUAAAGUCCUGGUGCUGAUUGAACACUUCCAGUAGCCCUACUAUGGCGGCUUAGGCCCGGAAAGACAGAGCGAGAAGAGGUCUUGAGGCGAGUCGGACCCUGAGGGCGAUUAAACAAGAGACCACCCAAACAGGAUUGGCAUCUGUGUCUUGUUGGCUCGCGCUAGGACCAACAAAUCGGCGGCUGUCUGUCUUCCUCUCUCCUCAUUACCGUUCAACUAUCUCUCUCUUGGAUCCACCUGUUCUCAAGUACGUUCGUGAUUCCGUCUUUCUGUCGCAAAUAUUCAACACUCUAGCCAACGUCUUCAGAGCGAAUGUUCUGUUCCAACAACGAGACAUCAGACGAAAUGUGGGUGAUGAAAGUAGGAUGAGGCCAUAUAUAACACAAGAGCACGUACAAAACCUCGCCAGAUGAUUCUGUGACAGAGAAGAUUUCAUACACAGCAAUUCCAAGGGUUACGUUUUACCAAAACAUGGCGGUUGGCAAGACACAAGGUCUUGCUGGAAAUGGGGUUUAGUGGAACCCCGGUCCCUCUUGAAGCUGAAAUAAAAGCUUUUUUAAUAAAAACAAAGUUUCUCAACACAGCUGUGCAGUUCCUCCAGCUCAUUUGCUGCGUUUCAGAGGUUCGGAUGAGUCAGUGGCCCGUGGUUAUUUCAGUUCUGAGAUUGGCAUAUUACGAAAAAGAUCAACAUCAUUGAACAAGAAUUAGUUGAAGGAACACUACCUUAUUUGCUUCUAAAGUUCCUCUAUUAACCUCUUUUACAAUAUUGGUCAGGUUUCAGGUUCUCACGGCGAAAAGUAUGUAAGUGGUUGUCUUUUGGAUUGUCGUGUCGUGUAGUCUAGCAAAAAUUUACCGACGUUUCAGAAGUUUUUGUUGCUUUCU